AGUCUGGUGCCAGCAGCCGCGGUAAUUCCAGCUCCAAUAGCGUAUAUUAAAGUUGUUGCAGUUAAAAAGCUCGUAGUUGAACCUUGGGCCUGGUUGGCCGGUCCGCCUCACCGCGUGCACUGGUCCGACCGGGUCUUUCCUUCUGGGGAGCCGCAUGCCCUUCACUGGGUGUGUCGGGGAACCAGGACUUUUACUUUGAAAAAAUUAGAGUGUUCAAAGCAGGCCUAUGCUCGAAUACAUUAGCAUGGAAUAAUAGAAUAGGACGUGUGGUUCUAUUUUGUUGGUUUCUAGGACCGCCGUAAUGAUUAAUAGGGAUAGUCGGGGGCAUCAGUAUUCAAUUGUCAGAGGUGAAAUUCUUGGAUUUAUUGAAGACUAACUACUGCGAAAGCAUUUGCCAAGGAUGUUUUCAUUAAUCAGUGAACGAAAGUUAGGGGAUCGAAGACGAUCAGAUACCGUCGUAGUCUUAACCAUAAACUAUGCCGACUAGGGAUCGGGCGAUGUUAUCUUUUUGACUHGCUCGGCACCUCACGAGAAAUCAAAGWCUUUGGGUUCUGGGGGGAGUAUGGUCUCAAGG
rnacentral:rRNA from 1 species